CGACAAUCUCAACAUCUAGACAUAUGAUGAUUCUCUACUAAUGAGUGCUUCCACAUUCAAGUUUCUACUAAGUAAUUCAAACCUACUUGAGUAAAAAAGGCUAUGAAAUGAGAUUUAAGAUUCAACAAGAGCAAUAUCAUUCUUUUAAUCACGACUUAACACAUGAGACUUAGAUCCCUAGCGUAUGGUCCUUACCUAGUUUAUACUUGUUAGAAAAAG
rnacentral:lncRNA from 1 species